GCAACGAGGAAGCUUCUUAGAGCAUAGCCGGGAAGGAGAAGUUGAGAUUACAGACAUCCUGCCAAAAUGAUUUCUUCAAAGCCCAGACUUGUCGUACCCUACGGCCUCAAGACUCUGCUCGAGGGAGUUAGCAGAGCCAUUCUCAAAACUAAUCCACCAAAUAUCACCCAAUUUGCAGCAGUUUAUUUUAAAGAACUUAUUGUGUUCAGAGAAGGGAAUACUUGUCUGGAUAUAAAAGAUCUGGUUAAACAGUUUCAUCAGAUUAAAGUAGAGAAGUGGUCAGAAGGAGGGACACAAGAGAAGAAACCAGAAUGUGUAAAAGAACCAGAAGGAAAAUCUGUAGUUCCUCAACAGCCUACACGGAUGGAAAAAUCUACAGACACAGAGGAGGACAAUAUAGCCGGGCCACUGUUCAGCAACAAGACCACCCAGUUCCCGUCAGUCCACGCUGAGGUCCCAGAGCCUGAGCAGGCAGCUGAAGCAGUUCGUGGUCCUUGUUCCAAGCCAGCCACCCCGAAGACUGCGACCCCACCCGCGUCACCGUCUCCUGCAGGGGUCUCUCCAGAGUUUGCCUACGUCCCAGCUGACCCAGCUCAGUUUGCUGCUCAGAUGUUAGCCAGCAAUAGCAACAGCGAAGCAGGACAACCACCACCAUAUUCUAACAUGUGGACCCUUUAUUGUCUAACUGAUAUGAAUCAACAGAGUCGCCCAUCACUGCCACCUGCGCCUGGGCCUUUCCCCCAAGCAACCCUCUAUUUAUCUAAUCAUAAGGAUCCGCAGUUUGUGCAGUAUCCACCGAAAGUCACGUCUCCAACGUACGUGAUGAUGGACGACAGCAAGAAGACGGGUGCCCCCCCCCUUUUAUUUUAGUAGGCUCAAAUGUUCAGGAGGCACAGGAAUGGAAGCCUAUCCCUGGACACACUGUUGUUUCACAGGGGGACACCUUGAAGAGAUACGCUGCAGUGCAAGUGCCCGUUGCUGUUCCUGCAGAUCAGAAAUUCCAGAAACACCCCCUAAAUCCCCAGAAUGUUAGUCCUCCCACGAGUGGACAAGAUGUCCCCAGACCACAAAGCCCUGUUUUUCUUUCACUCGCAUUCCCAGUAGAAGAUGUAGCCAAAAAAAGUUCAGGAUCUGGUGACAAACGUACUCCCUUUGGAAGUUACGGUAUUGCUGGAGAAAUUACUGUGACUACUGCCCAUGCUCGCAAAGCAGAAACUUAA